rnacentral:rRNA from 1 species
CCGGGGUGAAUACGUUCCCGGGCCUUGUACACACCGCCCGUCACACCACGAAAGUCGGCAACACCCGAAGCCGGUGGCCCAACCCGUAAGGGGGGGAGCCGUCGAAGGUGGGGUCGGUGAUUGGGGUG